CCUACGGGAGGCAGCAGUGGGGAAUAUUGCACAAUGGGCGAAAGCCUGAUGCAGCGACGCCGCGUGAGGGAUGACGGCCUUCGGGUUGUAAACCUCUUUCAGCAGGGAAGAAGCGAAAGUGACGGUACCUGCAGAAGAAGCGCCGGCUAACUACGUGCCAGCAGCCGCGGUAAUACGUAGGGCGCAAGCGUUGUCCGGAAUUAUUGGGCGUAAAGAGCUCGUAGGCGGCUUGUCACGUCGGGUGUGAAAGCCCGGGGCUUAACCCCGGGUCUGCAUUCGAUACGGGCUAGCUAGAGUGUGGUAGGGGAGAUCGGAAUUCCUGGUGUAGCGGUGAAAUGCGCAGAUAUCAGGAGGAACACCGGUGGCGAAGGCGGAUCUCUGGGCCAUUACUGACGCUGAGGAGCGAAAGCGUGGGGAGCGAACAGGAUUAGAUACCCUGGUAGUCCACGCCGUAAACGGUGGGAACUAGGUGUUGGUGACAUUCCACGUCGUCGGUGCCGCAGCUACGCAUAACGUUACCCGUCCGUCGGGUAGGUACGGCCGGCGACGACGUAAACUUAACUAAUAAGUAGUAGACGCGAGAGACGCGACGACGACGACGACGGAGGAGAG
rnacentral:rRNA from 1 species